rfam:Trichuris trichiura, WGS project CBXK01000000 data, contig: TTRE_1283
CAAACGGCCCUUUUUAGGGCCACUAAAUUUUACUGGCGCAAAGUG